rnacentral:tRNA from 1 species
GGAUUGUGGCUCAGUGGUCGAGCUCUUGCCUAGCAUGUGUGAGGCAUUGGGUUCGAAUCUCAGCACCA